UCAUCUCAAGCUUUCUACUUAUCUUUUCCUCCACCAUCACUGUUGACUCAUCAGAACCGUCGUGUCGAAGUUAUAAAUCGAUCAUCAGCUUCGGUGAUUCCGGCGCCGACACUGGAAAUUAUCUCCACCUCUCCGACGUCAAUCAUCCUCCUCAAGCCGCCUUUCCUCCUUAUGGAGAAACCUUCUUCCAUGCUCACACCGGCCGUAACUCCGACGGCCGCCUCAUCAUCGAUUUCAUCGGUACCUAAACCUUUCCUCUGUUAUCUUUUAGGUCUUUCUUGCUUGGACACCAAGUUAGAAACCCUACUUGCUUUGUUUGUUAUCCUCUGCUUUUAGGUAGUACUUGCUUGGACAGCAAGUUAGAAACCCUACUUGCUCCCUUUUUGUGAUAUUGUGUUCAUUUUGGUUUAUGUAACAGCUGAGUUCUUGGGACUACCAUAUGUACCACCUUAUUUUGGUUCCAAAAACGUGAGCGUCAAGCAAGGGAUCAAUUUCGCGGUGUAUGGAGCAACAGCUUUGGACUGUGCCUUGCUUAUCUCAACAUAUACCCUAUUUACACUCUAUAUCCUAUUUCCCCCCAAUUUUUUUCCCCCCAUCAUCACCAUUUUCCCACAACUCUAUGGUAUCUCACUUCUUUUUGGAUAUUGAGCUAAUUUACUCUUGGAAAUAAGAGUAUCAGAAAUAAAUUUUAAAGUGAUGAAAUGAAAAAAAUGAAUCCAAAAGAGAGAUAAGCUUUGGCACACAAACCAAAGCCUAGAAAAGGACGUCCAAAAUCUCUGCUAGUUCCCAAUGCAAUUAUUUAGUUAUAUAGUCACAGUUUCUUCGAUCUAUGGUAUGGUAUAGUACCUACUUUAGAUUAUGACAUUAGAUAUGUUCUCUUAUGGUUACAAUUAGAUAUGGUCUCUUAUGGUUACAAGAAAUUGAUCUGUUGCAACUCGUUCGUUUUUGACAAAAUGGUUUUAGACCAUUUUCUGGUAAGUUUCCGGACGAACAUCAGAAUAACCAAAUGUUUGACAAACACUUUGAACAGUGUAUUCACGUGUCAAAAACAAUGUUCGUUUGAAUAAAAAAUGUUGGUCCAAAACCAUUCACUUGAAAGCUUAUAAGUUUGACUAUUUAACUAUGUUUAAAAACUAGUAAAUGUCCCAUAUAAAAUAUGAGGUGAGAGUCGUCUUGUUUAUAUACGGAGAAGUAUGAAUAUAUUAUGGUAUACUGGUAGAAAGAUAUAGUGAAUUAAAAUGUGUUCGCACAUAGAACUGAGUUAACCAAAUUAAAUUUUGAAUAGACUGGUUUGGAAGUAAAAAUUAAUUUGAUAAAUAGACAACUAGUCUAAUGACCUAAUAAUUCUUUGGGUCAAAUUCAAAUUAAUUUUAUGAUGCAGGAAUAUAUUUGCCAUUGAUGAUAAGAAACAUUGCCAUUGACCUUGUCUUAAUUGUUGAUCAAAAUUUAUUAUUUUGAAUCAGUGUUGCAUACGUUGUGUUAUAUACUUCUCCCAUAUUACAGUAGAUAUACAAAACAACAAAUCUCUUUCUCCGUGUUGAGUAGUUAUGUUUUUUUUUUGUCCGAGAGUACAACACAAAAUUAUGUUCAAUAGAUUAUGUUUUUUUGAUGAUUGUAAACAGAAACAAUGCUGCUGGAGUUGUAUUCUGAAAAUCUGAACUCUAUAAAACUAUCACACUACGGGACGUUUAAAGAUAUAAAAAAAAGGUUAACCUUCUCGACUCUGCAAUUUUUAUUUAUUCUUAAAUUUUGGUAUUGUAAUUUUAAUUUAUGUUUCUAUUAUUUUUUACAAAUAUCAGUUGUCCAAUAUAGUAAAAUAAAGUUUCUGCAUGAUCUGCUUCACAGGUUUUUUAUUCAUUUACCCAACAUAUCAAAUAUGCAAACUUGAUACAUACACAAUCUUUCGAGAUUAUGUAUAAUCAAAACUUCUGAUGCCAAAAGAAAAAAUCCAAGCUCUUGAAAUUAUAGCCUACUCAUGAUAUAGCCUAUAUUUAUAUUCCUAUGCAAAAUUUCAAAAUCUAACCUCUAGAAAAUAAUACAAGUUUUACUACCAAAAUAAAAUAAUAUUUAAAUAUACUUAAAAUGUUAUAAUAUGUUUCAUUUCAGUGAGGGGGAUCUCGUGGAAAAUUUAAAUAUUUUAUAUAUUGUGGGUUAGGUAAGGAAUCCAUUUUCUUAAGUCAUCCACUUUUAUGGGAAAAAUGCAAGAGAAUCUUUUAGUAUUUUUUAUUUUAACGAUAUUUCUGAUCAGCAUCGAAGAUCCAAUCUUUUAGUAGUGGAGGUUGCAACUGGUCUGGACAUUUACGAAGUUACUUCCCUUUCAACCAAUAAAAACGACCCAUUCUGCCAGUUCACUCUUACUUACUAUUGAGGAAAUAAAUAUAAAUAGAACUCAUCAACUGACUCAACUCUUCACUAUUUAUCACCCAAAAAAAGAAGAAGUACCAAAGUUGAGUUGACAAAGACAACGACACGACUGUCCGAUGGCUUCUCCAUUGAAGAAGCUCAUCUCAACCUUUUUGUUUCUCCUAUCCUCCACUGUCAUCAUGGUUGCCUCAUCAGAACCACUGUGUCAUCCUUAUAAAUCGAUCAUAAGCUUCGGUGAUUCCAUCGCCGACACUGGAAAUUAUCUACGUCUCUCCGACGUCAAUCAUCUUCCUCAAGCCGCAUUUCUACCUUACGGCGAAACCUUCUUCCAUCCUCCCUCUGGCCGUUACUCCGAUGGCCGUCUUAUCAUAGACUUCAUCGGUACCUACUUUUUUCCCUCUCUCUGUUUCAUACAUUUAGGCAAAACCACUUGUUCUCCCAGGGCCGGUCAACAUUUUCAUGAAUCUUAAAAAAAAAAAUCAAAUUCUUAAAAUUUAAGCUUAUUUAAGUAUUUUUUGGGGUUCUCUGUUCAACCAAAUAUGUUGAUAUUUAAUUUUUUUUUAUAAAAUAUGUAUAUAUAUAUAUAUAUAUAUAUAUAUAUAUAUAUAUAAAGCCCCUCAUAACUAUUUAAGUUAUGGGCAAUUUGGUCCAUAAUCUCAUCUGGUACAUGUAGGCUGUAGCUAACUGUUGGUACUACCACAUUUAAGACAUAACUCACUAUACUGUCUCAAAUAAGGUUGAACUAAUGACAAUGUAUAGUCUCACAACCACUAGAUCAGUAAUUACUUUGGUCGGUCUUUCUUGCUUGAGCAGCAAGUUAAAAACCCUACUUGCUUCUGAGUAUCUGUCUUUGUCUUAACAGCUGAGUUCUUGGGACUACCAUACGUACCACCUUAUUUCGGAUCUCAAAACGUGAGCUUCGAGCAAGGGAUUAAUUUUGCGGUGUAUGGAGCAACGGCCUUGGAUCGUGCAUUUCUUAUGGAAAAAGGAAUUAAAUCUGAUUUCACCAAUGUUAGUUUAAAUGUUCAGCUUAACACAUUCAAGCAGAUUUUACCUAACCUCUGCGCCUCGACUUCUCGUGGUUAGAAACAUAGUCUUGUUUUCCUUUUUUAUUCAAUAGUCUUUAAGAUGAAUGGAGCUUGCUUCUGACUGUUUUGGUGUAGAUUGUAGAGAGAUGCUUGGAGACUCGCUAAUACUCAUGGGAGAGAUUGGUGGGAAUGACUAUAAUUACCCCUUCUUCGAAGGCAAAAGUAUCAAUGAGAUCAAAGAGCUUGUUCCUCUAAUCAUCAAAACUAUUUCUUCAGCAAUUGUGGUAACAUAUCAUUACUUUUCUCUGUUGUAUGUGUGUUUAAUUUUUUCUUAUAACAAAUUUGGCAACAAAUUAAAACUACAGGAUUUGGUAGAUUUGGGAGGCAAGACCUUUUUGGUACCUGGAAACUUUCCAAUAGGAUGUUCUGCGUCGUAUCUUACUCUAUUUCAUAAUGCAAAAGAAGAAGAACAUGACCCUUUCACUGGUUGUAUCCCAUGGCUCAACGAAUUUGGAGAGUACCAUAACGACCAGCUUAAGACAGAACUCAAACGACUACAAAAACUAUACCCUCAUGUUAACAUUAUUUAUGCUGACUACUACAACUCCAUCCACACGUUUUUCCAAGAACCAGCCAAAUACGGUUGGUGCACCAUUAAAAAUAUAUGUUCUUGACCUCACAGUUGUAUUCUUUAACUGAUGUUUUUAUGGAUUAUUGUUUUUUAGGAUUUAAGAACAGACCUUUGGCUGCUUGUUGUGGAGUUGGAGGUAAAUACAACUUCACUGUUAAUGAAGAGUGUGGAUACAGAGGAGUUAACUAUUGUCAAAAUCCAUCUGAGUAUGUAAAUUGGGAUGGUUAUCACUUAACAGAAGCUGCGUACCGCAAGAUCGCUCACGGUUUACUCAAUGGUCCAUAUGCAGCUCCUGCAUUUGAUUGGUCCUGCCCUGGCUCUGCAUCAGUGGAUAAAAAAUAUUCUUUCAGCAGUUAAUAAGAAUUCAUUUGUUGUAAAAAAAAUGAAGUAAAAAACAUUUAGUAACGAAAUGAUGAUGAUGAUGAUGAUGAUGAUAAUAAUGAUUAACAAGAACGCUGAGAGAGCAUAAUCAUUUUCAAUUUAUUUUGAAAUUUAACAAUUCAUUGUCAUCAAUUGAUAAGCAUGCAGUUGACAAAACGAACUGACAAGCAUGCAUAAACGUUAUCUUUAUGAAAUAAGAAGUCUAAAAAAUUAUUUUUUCUUUUACAAAACGGAUGAAAUAUAAAUAAUUAUUUUAGACUGCAGCUCCAUGACCAUUCCCAAUGUUUUGACGAGUUUGGUACAUCGAUUUUAGUGAUGUUUUAUAAAGUCAAAGAUAGUGUGAGAUGGUGCUUUUAAUCUUUAACUAGACUAGUGUGAUAAAUUUUAGAUCGAACAAACUAUAUAAAAUAAAUUAAAUUACAGAACCGGACUACUUCUUUAUGGGCAGAUGAUAGCUGUCUUUGUCAGACAACAAAUUAUCAAUGCAUCCUGACAAAAGAUAAGAUCCAAUAACUAAUGGCUGAAGUCUUUGCAUUAUCUGUGGUCGAAAAAAGACUAUAGAGAUCGAGUAAAAGAGACGACUCUAUCUUCACAUGGCUUCUUCACUGAAGAAGCUCAUCUCAAGCUUUCUACUUAUCUUUUCCUCCACCAUCACUGUUGACUCAUCAGAACCGUCGUGUCGAAGUUAUAAAUCGAUCAUCAGCUUCGGUGAUUCCGGCGCCGACACUGGAAAUUAUCUCCACCUCUCCGACGUCAAUCAUCCUCCUCAAGCCGCAUUUCCUCCUUAUGGAGAAACCUUCUUCCAUGCUCCCACCGGCCGUAACUCCGACGGCCGCCUCAU
rnacentral:lncRNA from 1 species